rnacentral:misc_RNA from 1 species
GAUGAAGAACGCAGUGAAAUGCGAUAAGUAAUGCGAAUUGCAGAAUCCGUGAGUCAUCGAAUCUUUGAACGCACAUUGCGCCCGCCAGUAUUCUGGCGGGCAUGCCUGUUCGAGCGUCAUUUCAACCCUCAAGCCCCCGGGCUUGGUGUUGGGGAUCGGCGUGCCCUCGCGGCGCGCCGUCCCCUAAAUCUAGUGGCGGUCUCGCUGUAGCUUCCUCUGCGUAGUAGCAACACUCGCACUGGAUCGCAGCGCGGCCACGCCGUUAAACCCCCCACUUCUGAAAGUUUGACCUCGGAUCAGGUAGGAAUACCCGCUGAACUUAAGCAUAUCAAUAAGCGGAGGA